rnacentral:rRNA from 1 species
UACGUAGGGGGCGAGCGUUGUCCGGAUUCAUUGGGCGUAAAGCGCGGGCAGGCGGCCCGCUCAGUCGGCCGUGAAAGCGCCGGGCUCAACUCGGCGUGGUCGGGCGAUACUGGCGGGCUCGAGGCUGGUAGAGGGCGGUGGAAUUCCGGGUGUAGUGGUGGAAUGCGUAGAGCUCCGGAGGAACACCAGUGGCGAAGGCGGCCGCCUGGGCCAGUCCUGACGCUGAGCCGCGAAAGCGUGGGGAGCGAUCCGG